UACAGAGGGGGCAAGCGUUGUUCGGAAUUACUGGGCGUAAAGGGCGCGUAGGCGGCCGGCUAAGUCGAACGUGAAAUCCCCGGGCUCAACCCGGGAACUGCGUCCGAUACUGGCAGGCUUGAAUCCGGGAGAGGGAUGCGGAAUUCCAGGUGUAGCGGUGAAAUGCGUAGAUAUCUGGAGGAACACCGGUGGCGAAGGCGGCAUCCUGGACCGGCAUUGACGCUGAGGCGCGAAAGCCAGGGGAGCAAACGGG
rnacentral:rRNA from 1 species